UGGGGAAUAUUGCGCAAUGGGGGAAACCCUGACGCAGCAACGCCGCGUGGAGGAAGAAGGCCUUCGGGUUGUAAACUCCUGUCAUUAGGGAAGAAGAAAGUGACUGUACCUAAUGAGGAAGCCACGGCUAACUACGUGCCAGCAGCCGCGGUAAUACGUAGGUGGCGAGCGUUGUCCGGAAUUAUUGGGCGUAAAGGGCGCGUAGGCGGCCUGAUAAGUCAGAUGUGAAACCCCCGAGCUCAACUUGGGGCAUGCAUUUGAAACUGUCGGGCUUGAGUGCAGGAGAGGUAAGUGGAAUUCCUAGUGUAGCAGUGAAAUGCGUAGAUAUUAGGAGGAACACCAGUGGCGAAGGCGACUUACUGGACUGUAACUGACGCUGAGGCGCGAAAGCGUGGGGAGC
rnacentral:rRNA from 1 species